rnacentral:rRNA from 1 species
UACGAAGGGGGCUAGCGUUGCUCGGAAUCACUGGGCGUAAAGCGCACGUAGGCGGAUUGUUAAGUCAGGGGUGAAAUCCUGGAGCUCAACUCCAGAACUGCCUUUGAUACUGGCAACCUAGAGACUGGAAGAGGUUAGUGGAAUUCCCAGUGUAGAGGUGAAAUUCGUAGAUAUUGGGAAGAACACCAGUGGCGAAGGCGGCUAACUGGUCCAGCACUGACGCUGAGGUGCGAAAGCGUGGGGAGCAAACAGG